rnacentral:snRNA from 1 species
AAAUGUGAGGGUGAUCUGGCUGCAACCUCUGUCACCCCAUUGAUCACCAGGGUUGACUGGCUGAUCUGGAUGGCUAGACAGGUGUCCCCUUUCCUGCCCCAUGGAUCCACAUACAUUCCUCCUGGAGCUGUAAGCUCAGUGAAAGAGGAUGGCCUUCCCCAAUAGGAGAGGGCCCUUUUUCGGUCGAGAGUAUAUGAGAAGCUGUUCUGCCCUGCUAGACCUUCCAAACAAGCUCUCAAGGUCCAUUCCUAGAAGAAAGUAGGCUAGUCAAGCUUCCAAGACUCGAGACACAUCCAAAUGAGGUGCUGCAGGUAGUGGUCUGCCUUUCUUA